rnacentral:rRNA from 1 species
GGGAGGACCACCUCCCAAGGCUAAAUACUACCUGAUGACCGAUAGUGAAGCAGUACCGUGAGGGAAAGGUGAAAAGAACCCCGGGAGGGGAGUGAAAUAGAACCUGAAACCGUGUGCCUACAACCGCUCAGAGCCCCUUAUGAGGGUGAUGAGGUGCUUUUUGUAGAACGAGCCAACGAGUUACGGUAUGUAGCAAGGUUAAGUACUUAAGGUACGGAGCCGAAGGGAAACCGAGUCUGAAUAGGGCGACUAGUUGCAUGCCGUAGACCCGAAACCGGGUGACCUAUCCAUGGCCAGGUUGAAGCGAGGGUAAAACCUCGUGGAGGACCGAACCACGUUGCUGUUGAAAAAGCAUGGGAUGAGCUGUGGAUAGCGGAGAAAUUCCAAUCGAACCCGGAGAUAGCUGGUUCUCUCCGAAAUAGCUUUAGGGCUAGCGUCGAGUAUGAGUAGUGGAGGUAGAGCACUGAAUGGGCUAGGGGGCAUAGCGCUUACCGAACCUUAUCAAACUCCGAAUGCCACAUACUUUGAGCUCGGCAGUCAGACUACGAAUGAUAAGAUCCGUGGUCAAAAGGGAAACAGCCCAGAUCGUCAGCUAAGGUCCCAAAGUGUAAGUUAAGUGGGAAAGGAUGUGAGAUUUCUAAGACAACUAGGAUGUUGGCUUAGAAGCAGCCAUUCAUUAAAAGAGUGCGUAAUAGCUCACUAGUCGAGAGAUCUUGCGCCGAAAAUGUAACGGGGCUAAACUUACCACCGAAGCUACGGGCUUGAACAUAGUUCAAGCGGUAGGAGAGCGUCGUAACCGGGCUGAAGUCGUACCGUAAGGAGCGGUGGACUGGUUACGAGUGAGAAUGUUGGCAUCAGUAGCGAGAUGUGGGUGAGAAUCCCACAGGCCGAAAACCUAAGGUUUCCUCAGGAAGGUUCGUCCGCUGAGGGUUAGUCGGGACCUAAGCCGAGGCCGAAAGGCGUAGGUGAUGGACAACUGGUUGAUAUUCCAGUACCACUACCAUCGUUAUUAUCGAUGGCGUGACGCAGGAGGAUAGUGUGUGCUAGCUAUUGGAUGCUAGUCUAAGCGUUUAGGCAGUGAGAGUAGGCAAAUCCGCUCUCAUAAUGCUGAGGCGUGAUGGGGAAGGUUCCACGGAACCGAAGUACAUGAUUCCACGCUGCCAAGAAAAGCGUCUAGAGAGAGAAGUAGUGCCCGUACCGCAAACCGACACAGGUAGGUGAGGAGAGAAUCCUAAGGCCGGCGGAAGAAUUACAGUUAAGGAACUCGGCAAAUUGACCCCGUAAGUUCGCGAGAAGGGGUGCCUACGAGAGUAGGCCGCAGAGAAUAGGCCCAAGCAACUGUUUAGCAAAAACACAGGUCUCUGCUAAAGCGUAAGCUGAUGUAUAGGGGCUGACGCCUGCCCGGUGCUGGAAGGUUAAGGGGAACACUUAGCGCAAGCGAAGGUGUGAACUUAAGCCCC